rnacentral:rRNA from 1 species
AUUGAACGCUGGCGGCAGGCCUAACACAUGCAAGUCGAGCGGAGCGGCGGACGGGUGAGUAAUGCCUAGGAAUCUGCCUGUUAGUGGGGGAUAAAUUCAGGAAACGUGCGACAAUACCGCAUACUUUCCAAUGAGCCUAGGUCGGAUUAGCUAGUUGGUGGGGUAAAGGCCUACCAAGGCGACGAUCCGUAACUGGUCUGAGAGGAUGAUCAGUCACACUGGAACUGAGACACGGUCCAGACUCCUACGGGAGGCAGCAGUGGGGAAUAUUGGACAAUGGGCGAAAGCCUGAUCCAGCCAGGCCGCGUGUGUGAAGAAGGUCUUCGGAUUGUAAAGCACUUUAAGUUGGGAGGCGUUACCAACAGAAUAAGCACCGGCUAACUUCGUGCCAGCAGCCGCGGUAAUAC